AUGAGAUCAUGAGGGUGCCACUGUCACAAUGGGAUUAGUGCCCUUAUAAGAAAAGACACCAGAGAGCUCACUGUCUCUUUCUGUGCACAUAUAAAGAGGAGGUCACAUGAGCACAUAGUGAGAUCGUAGCCCCAUACAAGUCAAAAGAAGAGCCCUCAGAAUGAAACCUACCUUGCCAGCACCUUGAUCUUGAACUUCUCAGCCUCCAGAAGGGCCUCCUGGAAGACAACAUCUAAGUUUUGCUGGGAAGUAGCCGUAAAGCAGAGAGGCUGGGAUUAAGGAGCAAAAUUUCAGUCCCUGGGAGAGGAACUUGCAAGACCCUCCAGGAUUCAAUCUGCAGUGGGCAUCUAUUGAUCUGCCUGACCGACACUCACGCUGUCUCCUGGAUUUUCCUUUUUGGAACUGUAUGAGUCAGGGUCUAGUUGGCACAACAGAGCCACUCCAGAUCUUUCCAAUCGAGUGAAUGUAUACUGGAAACUAGUUAUGCAGUUAAUGGAGGGGUUGAGAGGCCAAACAAAGGGCGACAAGGCUACCCUGUGCUUAGCAUCAGCAGGAAAUCUCUCCCACACUCAAGGCUGGAGAGUCGAGGAAGGAGGCAACAUUGCCAAAGUCCAGGGCCAUCUGGUGGCAGCUAGAACUAUGAGGGGCCUGAUCAGCAGAAACUGGGACUGAAGGGAGGGGCCCCAGAGGAGACACAGCAUUGUCUGCGACAUUGCCUGAAGCAAAGUAAGGUGGAUAAAUACGUUGGAUAAGUACGUUGGCUUCCCUCUCUUCCUGUCCUCUAAUCUUCCAUCAGUGCUUCCAAUUUGCGGAAUCUACCUGGGAACCAGAAGGCCACGACAUCAAGGAUCUAGAGUUAUCUGUGACGCAGAGCAGAGAUCUUAGAGCAAACAGGCAAAUGACUGGCCCAGAAACCAUCUCUCCCCCUACCACUCAGUCCACAAGACUCUGGUGGAGUUGAUCUUGACCUUUGGCUCCCGGGGUAGAUGAAUGACCUAGGACUGGCCAAUCAGUAUAUUCCACUCUGCUCGCUCUAAUGACCCAAGUUAGUCCAAUGAGAGUGAACCCUGGAGCUUUUGGAAAAGAGAAAGCAUCUUUCUCCUAGGGUUGCCAGGCUCACAGAAUAUAAAUGUAGAAUUGCUCCCAGCCACCUUGCUACCAUAGACAAAAGAAUGGCUUAGAAGGAAGCCAGCAUAAAGGGAAGGCAGAACAAUGGGAAUGGGGAAAGAUUACCAAGAACAUUUGAAUACCUGGGUCCAGCCACGACUGUGCAUAGAGCUCUGAGUUAUGUGGACCACAAUUUGCAGCUCUCCUUUUUUUUCCUUUUUUUUUUUUUUUUGGAGGGGAAAUUCCAGGUCUUCAGGAGCAAGAGAAAGCUGGGUAACAUAUCUUCUCAACGAGCGAGGCAUCGUCCUGGAAAUCCGGUCUUCCUCAUCCCACCAGCUUCGAUUGUUCAGCUACUCCGCUCAUUGUUUUAACUGGCAGUUUUCAAAGAAAUCAACAUGAAGAAUUCUGCAAAGCAAAGUUGGGCAUUUGAUUGUAAAAUCUGGUGUGAAGGCACGAUGGCGUGCUACUGGGAGAAUCAGAACAGCUUCCAACUUCAUAAGCCGUUCAUGAAGCUUAGAUUCUAAACACACAGACGUCUUUCUUGACUAAGGACAAUGUCACAGGUGAUUUUCUGGCUGCUUUUGAUUAAGUACCUAUACCUUUAAUUCUUUUUAAAUCACAAACAGUUUUUAAGUGAUUUGGAACUUGGCUUCCGGACUCAAACUGCGAAGGUUGAAAUCUUUAGCUCUGCGGCUCUGACCAGCUGACCAGCUUUCUUCAGCUUCUUGAAGCCUCGGUUCCUUUUUAAGUCAUUAAAAAGGGACUAAGAAUCCUUAUGUCAGGGCAUGAAGUGAGGAUUUAGUGAAAUAAUACAUAAAGUGCCUUGCACAAUUCCCAGAA
ensembl:lncRNA